ACUGCCUUUCGCUCCUGUCCUCCACUCGGUGAAGCAGGAGAGCAUUGUGGGAAUAGAAGGUGAACCUGAGCAGAUACACUAUGACCCCACUGAGAUUCAAACCCUGAACCCUCGGUUCAUCAAUUUAAGGAGCAGUUCGGUAAGAAAGUAUGGAACAAAUAGAAUGCUCUAUUAGCAAUACAACAAUUAGCUAGCAUGCUAACUAGUCAGCUUCGAGUGUUAUAGUACUUUUAGGUGUUGAGUUAAAGUUCAUCAUCUGCAUAGAGCAGAUCUUAAGGUCCCAGAUAUUCUGUUAAACUGUGUUAAAGAUGUUAUUUUCAUUCUGUUGGUCACUCCUUCAUUCCACCCUCCAUAUUUUAAUACGUUAUAUUUUUUAUUGGUCUUCUUUCCUGUGUUGGAAAAGAAGGCCCUCCAUGGUCGACAGCAGCUGUUGCAUCCACAUCUGCUAUUUUACUGGUGAUCAUGAUCCUCGCUGCCUUACUUUUGAUCAGAAGAAAAAGGUCCUCACGAAGCUUUUUCCCUGGAAAGAGACCAGACAACAUCGCUGAGAUCCCACUAGUGCAGCU